rnacentral:tRNA from 1 species
GGGUCGGUAGCUCAGUGGACAGAGCGCCCGGCGUCCCGGAGGUUCGGCAAUGCCAACGGGUCGCGCCCCAGACGCAUCCGAAGGCAGGCAUGCCUCGCUGGUUCGAAUCCAGCCCGACCCG